GUUACAAUAUAGCUCAGUUGGUUAGAGCGUGGUGCUGGCAACAGCAAGGUUGCAGGUUCGAUCCCCUGUAAGGGACA